CCUCCAUCCUCCCCGCACAGGAGGGUGGAUCGAGGAACCCGGCGCUCUCUGCCCUGACUGCGCCGAGUCCUCCACACGGCCGCGGGACCGCACACCCGACGGCCGGGCAACUCCGGGCUGCGGUGCCGGACGGGUUGAGGGUCCCGUCCUGGCGC
rnacentral:ncRNA from 1 species